GGAGGUAUAGCUCAGCGGUUAGAGUACUGGCCUGUCACGCCAGGGGUCACGGGUUCGAUCCCCGUUGCCUCCG